rnacentral:rRNA from 1 species
UACAGAGGUCCCAAGCGUUGUUCGGAUUUACUGGGCGUAAAGGGUGCGUAGGUGGCGGAGUAAGUUCGGUGUGAAAUCUCUGAGCUCAACUCAGAAACGGCAUCGAAUACUACUUCGCUCGAGGGUUGGAGGGGGGACUGGAAUUCUCGGUGUAGCGGUGAAAUGCGUAGAUAUCGAGAGGAACACCAGUGGCGAAGGCGAGUCCCUGGACAACUCCUGACACUGAGGCACGAAAGCUAGGGGAGCAAACAGG